rnacentral:rRNA from 1 species
ACGUUAACGAACGAGACCUCGACCUGCUAAAUAGUUCGGCGAAUCUUUCGGGAUUCGUACGCGCUUCUUAGAGGGACUAUCGGUGUGUAGCCGAUGGAAGUUCGAGGCAAUAACAGGUCUGUGAUGCCCUUAGAUGUUCUGGGCCGCACGCGCGCUACACUGAUACGUUCAUCGAGCUUACAACCUUGACUGAGAGGUCUGGGUAAUCUUUUUAAAGCGUAUCGUGAUGGGGAUAGAUUAUUGUAAUUUUUAGUCUUCAACGAGGAAUUCCUAGUAAACGCGAUUCAUCAAAUCGCAUUGAUUACGUCCCUGCCCUUUGUACACACCGCCCGUCGCUAAUACCGAUUGAAUGGAUAA